UUCAUGUUCAGGAAAUGUGUUAAUGAGUCAGAGCCUGUGAGCCUAAUCUCGUUAUUAAAGACUGUUUCUAUCCGAGGAGGAACUAGAGACCUGGACAACGUCCCUUUCUGCCUCUUCUAAUUUUAGAAUAUGAGACUCAGAGGUGCAAAGCCCAUUUUUUUAAACGAAGCCACAGGAAUUCCUUCUGAAAUCACGGGUUGACAUCAUCCAAUUCUUUGAGCACCUGAACAAAGGAAGACUUUCUUCUGUCUGGCCUGGGACAUCUAUCUUCCGCCAUCCGCUCAGUGCUGAGCUACAUCAGCAUCACUGGCUCUCAGAUGUGAUGUUCAUCACACUCCCAACUACCUCCUGCUGGUGCCGUUUCUCCGGACUCCUUAACUAAUGUGGCUAUGGAUCCCCCUGGGUCCCUCUGAGUGCCUUAACAAAUUACUCGCCAAUCUAAAAUUGGUUUUCCUUGGCUAAAUGAGCAUAGAAGGGAUCCUGUUUCACAAGUCACUGAAUGUACAGAGCAUUAUGUGAGAUAUACAGAAUUUUAAGGGGCAUUAGUAGAAUUAUUAGCCAGAUGCCAACUCUGUGUAUAAGCUGUAUUUUCUUCGUUUGUUUCCAUUUUGUAAAUUGGUUCGAACCAGUCGUUCAAACUGUAUUUUGGUGCCAGAAAAUGGCUAUGGCUGUGCUAGUAAGCCCUGUGUGGGACUGUUUAUAAAAGAAUAAUAAAG
rnacentral:lncRNA from 1 species